GUAGGUGGCAAGCGUUGUCCGGAAUUAUUGGGCGUAAAGCGCGCGCAGGCGGUUCUUUAAGUCUGAUGUGAAAGCCCACGGCUCAACCGUGGAGGGUCAUUGGAAACUGGAGAACUUGAGUACAGAGGAGGAAAGCGGAAUUCCACGUGUAGCGGUGAAAUGCGUAGAGAUGUGGAGGAACACCAGUGGCGAAGGCGGCUUUCUGGUCUGUAACUGACGCUGAGGCGCGAAAGCGUGGGGAGCAAACAGGGAUUAGAUACCCUGGUAGUCCACGCCGUAAACGAUGAGUGCUAAGUGUUAGGGGGUUUCCGCCCCCUUAGUGCUGCAGCUAACGCAUUAAGCACUCCGCCUGGGGAUACGGCCGCAAGACUG
rnacentral:rRNA from 1 species